ACUAUUAAGAUCUUCAGGUGCAAUUGACAAACGCAGAGGGUGAGAACUUAAUAUAUUUGAGGCAGAGUUUCACCACCACCACCAACAACAAAAGAUGAGGACGAUUGUGUUUGCAGCUGUUUUCUCAGCUCUGUUCCUGGUGGCAGCUUCACAGUGGCAAUUUAAAUUACCAAACCAGGAUGCUAGAAGCUUUGGGGAAUACCAUGCAACGCCAGACAAAUUUGGGUGGAUGGCAAGACAUUCGAGAAACUCCAAAUUAUGUCAAGAUGACCAAGACUGUUUUUUUGGUCUGAUGGGGAAGAGAGCAGUACA